rnacentral:lncRNA from 1 species
ACUGGCCAAUUAUACGCGAACUAUUCACGAAUUACAAAAAAUUUGUAUAAAAUAGUUUAUAUAUGACAUUUUUAAAAAAAUAAGAAUAAUACUUGAAUUUUUGGAUUGAAUUUAUUAUACACGAAUAAUUCGGCCAAAAAAAACACAUAAAAUUUUGGAUAAAAUCAAUUUUCGAAUUAUUUUCAAAUUAUUGCUGAAUUAUUUAUGAAUUAUUGAAAAAUUUAUAAACUUUCGGAAUAUAUGGAUCAUCAGAAAAAUAAUAAUAGAGACGACAAUAAAUUUUACUAUUAUUUUUUUUUACUUUAUCUGCUUUAUUUUGUAGCUUUAUACUAUUAUAUUAUUAAGAAUUUAUAACUAUAUAUAUAUAUAUAUAUAUAUAUAUAUAGAGAGAGAGAGAGAGAGAGAGAGAGAGAGUCUCCUAUACUAUCUAUUGUAUCGGGCCUCCGGUAUUAUAAUCUCGUUUUCGAUCUUCGGACGUUCAAAUCAACGAUCCACACCGUUAAAACUGAUCUAGAAUAUUUAAAGUUUUUAGAAAUAAUAUUUUAUAUUUUUUCAACAUAGUUUACUUUAUGAUCAAACUAUUUCAAAAUUGUCAAUUUUCAAUGGCUACUAUGACGAGUUUAGAGUUUAACGGUGUGGAAGAAUCUAAGUUUCUUCAAAUUUUGAUAGAAAAUACUUUAAACUAUCUAGAUUAAGGUUAAAUUCUUAAUCUUGAAUUUAAAAGUCCUAUGCUCAAAUUUUAANAAUUGGCGAACCUGUUUUUUAAACCGUAUUUUUCAACGAAUUUAAAAAUGAAGAUACAAAUUUUAUUGAAUUAUAUCCGUUCCGAAUUUUUGCUGAAUUCGAAUUAACUAAUUAUGGACACAGGCUGCCAGAAAGAAAAAAAAAAAAUCUAAAUACAUUAGUUAUAUUAUUGAUAUAGGACCUGUUUGGCGUAACUUUUGGAAAAAUGAUUUUCGCAGAAGUGAUUUUUGUUUGGAGAAUUGAUUUUGAUGAAAAGCUGCAGAACGUUUGACUGAGUUUAGAUAAAAAUGAUUUUUCUAAAGUGAUUUUCUAAAGCUAUUUGGCAAAAAAUUUUUGAUGCUUGCAUAUAUUGAUAUUUUUACUAAAUUUUAUUUUAAAAUAAUUUAAAAUUUGACUUUAAAUUAAAAUUCUAAAUUUGAAUUAAAAGUAUAAUUUUUAAAUUUUAAAUUUGUACAAAAAAUAAAUUUAAAAUUUAAGUUUUGAAUUUUAUAAUAUGAAAAUUAAAACUUGUACUUUUAAAAUUUAAAUUUAAAUUUUUAAAAUUUGAAAUGUCAAAAUUUAAAUUUAAUGUUAAAUUUAUAUUGUGAAUCUAAAUAAAAAUAAAAAUUUAAAGUUUGUCCAAAAUCAGAAUCAGUUUUAGAGAAUAAGUUUUUUUCUGUUUUUGAUUUUGGAGCCUUCAAAAUCAGUUUUCUAAUUCUGAAAAGUAGAAUCAGAUUUUUCAUAUAUCGUUUCCAAACGCUUUACUAAGCUUAGAAGUGAUUUUGUGCUGAGAAUCAUUUCUAGAAAUUAGGCCAAACACUCCCAUAGUAUUACAUAAUAGACUUUCUCCCUCAAAAAUACGCAAUUUGAAAAAAAAAAUUAUUGUAUAAUACUUACAACACAUCAUCAAUAACUGGUCAAGCACUUAUCUCUUUCUUUUUUUAAAAAAUAUAAUAAUAAAAAUAUUUUUUUAAAAGUCAAGAUAAAAUCAGGGAAUUCAAAAAAAAUAAUAUUAUUAGUGGGAGAUGUCACAUCUCUCUUUUUCCCAAUUUAGAGACGAACAUAUUCUCUUCGC